CAGAGAAAAAGUAAGAAAAAAAUAGAGAAAAAUUUCAAGGAGCUUUAGGGAUCAAUUAUGGGGAGAUUAUGGAGCUAGAGAGUUUGAUGUAUGGCUAAAUUCCUUCAAUCCAGGAAUAUGAUGAAGCCUGUAAAUGAAUUUUUAUUUUUUUUGUAUUUAACUUUUAUGUAAUAAAAUUUUACUUUUAUUUCAUAUCUUUUUAUUUUUUCUGAGAUAUUGAUCCAGCCUACACGGCCUAUACCUUCUCUUGACAUCCCG
rnacentral:lncRNA from 1 species